rnacentral:rRNA from 1 species
AACGAACGCUGGCGGCGUGGCUAAGACAUGCAAGUCGAACGGACCAUUAAUUUAUUAGUGGUUAGUGGCGAAAGGGUUAGUAACGGGUAGGUAACGUACCCUGUGCUUUGGGAUAGCGUCAGUAACUUCGGUUACUUUCCGAAAGGGGCGGUAAUACCAAAUAAUAUCAUUUGUCGAUAGGCGAAUGACCAAAGAUUUAUCGGCACGGGAGCGGCCUGCCUCCUAUCAGCUUGUUGGUGAGGUAACGGCUCACCAAGGCAACGACGGGUAGCGGGACUGAGAGGUUGACCCGCAACAUCGGGACUGAGACACUGCCCGGACCUCCACGGAGGGCUGCAGUAACGGAUAUUGUGCAAUGGGCGAAAGCCUGACACAGCGACGCCGCGUGUAGGAGGAAGUCCUUCGGGAUGUAAACUACUGUCAGGGGGAAGAAAGUGCGCUUCGGCGUAUGAUCUAACCCA